UUGACAUUGUCUCACCAUUUAGAUUUUAAGGGUGUUUCCUUGUAACAUUAACCUUAAAAUUUAUUUCCAUUACCAUCAUUUAUUAACAACUAUCAAACAUACCGUAAUUGUACACUCUCCCAAUCAACGAAGCUCAUUAUCAUUAAUUCAAUUCUAGUUGCUCCCAUUUGGCAUCAGUUGGUGCUCUUUCCGAUUCCUACUACUAUUGUGAACAAGAUUGAUGGUAUGCUCGAUUUUUUGGUCUAACUCUCAAGGUCCAGGGAUUCAUUGGCGCAAAAGGGAUAUUAUUCAUCGCCCUCGAGGGCUUGGGGGAUUAGGGAUUCGUAAUGUGGGAGCACUUAAUGAAGCUUUACUAAUGCUGAAAGCUUGGCGAAUUCAGCAUCAUCCACAGUUGCUCAUUUCCAAGGUUUAUGACUUGUCCCGAACUCAUGAUCAUGCUCGGCCUCAUCGUUUCAGUAACACUUCAUGGGGUUUUCGAGGAGUGUUUCGGGCUGCGCAAAACCUUACUCAGCCAGUGUGUCUGGAAAGUUGGUAAUGGUAGUCGCAUUCUGGCGUUGAAGGAUAAGUAGGUUAAUGGUCACACUCCGGUCCUGCGGGAUGACAUCUUUCUAAUUGAGCCUGCUCAUUUACGAAUUGCGGAUCUUAUUCUCCCUGCAGGCAGGGGCUGGGACUGGGAUACUCAAAAAAAUUCGCAGGCUCUUUGUUCCAGCUAGCGCUCAGCAGAUUACUAGUAUGCAACUGCCUAUCUUCUCCACUCCUUAUGACACUAUGUACGGGCCACUCAAGAAAACAGUUUGAACAUCAUUGCCGAAGUGAAAAUUGUUUCUUUGGAAACUAAGGCAUAAUAACAUUGCGACGACUACAAAUCUCUUCCAUCGCGGAAUUGGGACAAAUGAAUUAUGCCUCAUAUGUUUAGAGGAAGCUGAAAUGUGUCAACAUUUAUUCCGGGAUUGCGCUCUUGCUUUAGAGGCAUGGGAUUCGUGGGACAUGGCUGACACUAUGGUCCACAAUCAGCCUUCGCUUUUCUCUGACUAGUUGGUUCAUCACAUCCUGCUUGCUAAACAACAUAAGAAUCGUUUAUCUUCUUUUGUUGGCAUACAGUGGACCAUGUGGAUGACUCGUAAUGCUUAGGUGUUUCGACGUUUCGUCGCUCUAGAGCUUCCAUUGAGGCUCUAUAACACAAUGUGGUAGAGAGUAGAAAACAACAUCUCAUAUUCUCACAAAAUCAAGGUUGGGCGCUUGGUGCUCCAUCACAUUCUGCUCUCCCUCCUUAAUAUGUAAUAGCGGAUUUUGGUUCCUCAUCUCCACUUGAUCUACCGGUUUGUAUUAGGAUUGAUGGUUCAUGGAACAAAAGGAUGCAUCGAGCGUGAGGAUUGUUAUAGGUUCCGCUUCUCAUGUGCAACAAGGUCAACUUAUCCGGGCCGCUUCCGCUAUCUAGGUCCAAGCUAGGGCUUGCUUGUUAGCUUUGAUUUGGGCCCAAGCUUUGGGGUUCUCCCAUGUUAUGGUCUAUAUAGCUUCGCAUCCUCUCAUUUGUUCUAUUGGUUCCAAUUCAGCACCGGAUGUGUCUAUACAACACAAUAUUCUUGACCUCCGCAAUAUUGUUGCAACGUUCACUGGGUGUCGCAUCAUGAAAGUUAGUCGUCAAGAGGUUGCUCAGGCUACUUCUCCAGCACACUUAUGCAGGACCAUUAGUUUGUUUUUGUUCUUGUUUAUGUUUGUUCUCAUUGUAAUGUUUUAUGACUUUAUCUACCGUACAAUUUCCCGAUGUUAAAAAAAAUAAUCAACCAGACCGUAAAUAACUAAUUUGACAGUAUCAA